rnacentral:rRNA from 1 species
CCUACGGGUGGCUGCAGUGGGGAAUAUUGCACAAUGGGCGCAAGCCUGAUGCCGCCAUGCCGCGUGUGUGAAGAAGGCCUUCGGGUUGUAAAGCACUUUCAGCGGGGAGGAAGGCGGUGAGGUUAAUAACCUCAUCGAUUGACGUUACCCGCAGAAGAAGCACCGGCUAACUCCGUGCCAGCAGCCGCGGUAAUACGGAGGGUGCAAGCGUUAAUCGGAAUUACUGGGCGUAAAGCGCACGCAGGCGGUCUGUCAAGUCGGAUGUGAAAUCCCCGGGCUCAACCUGGGAACUGCAUUCGAAACUGGCAGGCUAGAGUCUUGUAGAGGGGGGUAGAAUUCCAGGUGUAGCGGUGAAAUGCGUAGAGAUCUGGAGGAAUACCGGUGGCGAAGGCGGCCCCCUGGACAAAGACUGACGCUCAGGUGCGAAAGCGUGAGGAGCAAACAGGAUUGGAUACCCUAGUAGUC